rnacentral:lncRNA from 1 species
AAAAAUUUCUAGUUUACAAAUAAGCCGAGUUACGACCAUUUAAUCGGGUAAAAUUUAAAUUCCGUUUAACGUUGGUAUGGGGUGGAUCCCCACCUGGCCACAAACUCAAGUCCUAUAUAAGGGUUGAGAGGUCACCAACUUGAACUUUUUACCACUCUAGUCACUCUAUCUCUCUACUGUCUCUCUUCAAGGCCCGAUUCUUCCAAAAAUCCACAAGUUUCCGCUCCCAAACUAUAAGUUCUCUUACCAUAGAUUGUUCUAAAGCUCAUUACAUGUCUAUAUAGCUUGAAAAUCAUCCAUGAAGGCCAAGAACAAGGAAUUUAUGGCCCAAGAACCCCUAUUAGGCCGUAAACCCCUAAAAGUGUGCCAAAAUGCCCCAAAUCCCUCCCUUAGGCUUAGAGGUUAACUUGGAACUUACCCUUGAAGUGUUUUAGACGUCAAAAUAUAUGUUUGGAGGUUUGAAAGAGGGUUUACGGCCCAAGAACAUUCUAAGGCCGUCAACUCCCUCAAAUGAUGCAAAAUGAGCCUAAACCCCUUAUUUAGCCUUAGACCAUAAACUAGAAACUUGUAAGAAUGAGCUUAGGACCUCAAAACAAAGGAAAAGGGUGUGUCUAAGGGUUUACGGCUGUAAACCAUAGAGUUUAUGACCGUAAACUCCCAUGGAGUGGCCCUAGGACCGCAAACUCUAGGGAGUGCCCCUUUUGAACCCUAAACACCCCUCAAGCGUUGGAAUUGAUCUUAGAAUCCUUCCUAGCGAUACAAUAGACCUUAAGGAACACAAAUACACUCCUCCCAUGAGUUUACGGCCAUAAACUCAUGGGGGAAUGGGUCCCUCAACCUCAAACUCACCUAAGGUGAGUAUUUGAGGAGUAAACUCCAUAGUGAGGCCUUACACUCCUUCCUUGCAACCUAAUAGCCUCCUAGCACUUGACCAAAGCGUUUUUCUUCGCAUUAGGAUGCCUAUACAUGUUAAAUUAGUGUUUUAAUCACUAAUUAUAUGUAAACAUAUGUCUUCAUAUGUUACUAGGGUCAUAAUGUGUGUUUAAGUCUUCACUUGACACCAAACACUCAACCGAGACUUUCAUCCGAUCCAUUCGCUACAGGUGAGUUCAUACCCCUUAAUUAACCUUUCAAUUGUUUUUAAAUGUUUUUAUGGGGGGGGAGGAAUACAAGUUGAAUCCAACAAUUUAUAUUAUCAAUCACAUGCGAUUUGUAGCUUACAAUCAAAAAAGGGAUUCUAUACUUUCAACUGUUUGUCUUCAAAAAGUUAUUUUCAAUGUUAUUCAAACUCAUUUUUCUGUAAAUUUGUUAUCAAAAAUAUUUUCAAACUCUUUUAAACUGUUUAUGUUUUUAAGAUGUAUCCACACCAAUAUAUUUAUAUAAGUAGGACUAGAAGGACCUAGGACUGAUAGCUCGCCUUAUUACCUGUUCUUGUUUGAUUGGGGUCUUGGGGAUAUUGUUAUCUGUCCGAAUGUCAUUGAAUUCUUCUUUAUAUAUUGUAUAUAUUUGUGUUGGAUAUGAAUACCUUCGUUUACUCCAAUAUUUAUUAGUAUCCAAGAACGACGGCAACAUGCCAGUUAACUAUAAUAGUUAUAGUCAAGGUUUACCACUCCUCGCUACUAUUACUAUGGUACUUACUACCGUUAGUGCUAUUAUGAGUUGCUACAUGUUAAAUACUAUACAGGAAGAAUACAAUAUGCUAUAACAGAAGAAUACUAAAUACAUUAUACCGAGAAGCAUACUAUAAACUAAUACAAAAGAACAUACUAAUACAGAGUGUGAUGUAAUAUUUCUACAUACGGCACUUUACUGCGCCUCCACCGUGUAACCUUAGUCUCCUGGAGGGAUAGCGGCAACUAUGUGUGUAGAUCUAUACAGGGCGGAAACUUACACAUCCUGACUGGUAGGUACAGUCCGAGCCGUCUAGUCCCAGGGAUGAUAACAUGCUACUACACUACAUAUGACCUGGAGGGUCAUGAUACAUUUAAUCGCCUAUCCGCAUGGUUACAUACUUAUUCACAUUCGGAACCCUAAUCUAACAAAUUACAAAUUGUAGGUAAAGUAGACUCUCCGAGGUGUAUUAAAUACAUAUCGCUACCUAGAGUCUAUGGUUAAUUACCAUCCAAUCGGUAGUAACACCACUAGAAUAAUACAUUAUCAACCCAUUUACGUUGUUCAAGUGAAGUCCAAAUUAUAUUUUAUAAUUAUGAGUCUAAUUGGGAAAAAAAUUUACACACUCAAAGGAUCAAACUUACAAGUAAUCAAGUCUUGGCAGAAGACUACUCUUAUUAGAAAAUAUAGGAUUUUCAAGAGAUUCACACUAUUUUCAAACUUAAUAACAACUUUCAUGUUAUACGAUUGUAAACAUUUUUAUACGAGCAAUGACAGUAAAUUCUUAUGAACUCACCAGCUUUAUGCUGAUACUCGUUUUCAAAAUAACUUGUUUUCUCAGGUCGGCAAUAGACAGGUAUAGAUGCUGUUUUUGAGAAGAUGGAGCGCACACAAGACUCGUCUUUAUUUUUUAUUAUACUUUUGGUGUCUAACAAACUGUACAGAACACGCUUGUAUUACAAUUACUAUAUUGAUGAAAUCAAUGUUGUUGCUUGUUUUUACUAUUAUGCAUUGUUAUGAUACUGUACAUGACGUCCUCCACCCCAGAAUGUAUUCCGCCGUUCUCGGUUUUGGGGUGUGACAGAUUGGUAUCAGAGCAUUGUUUAUAGUGAAUCAAGUAUAUCAACCCAUAAAAGAUAUACGAACUAUAAACACUUCGGGACUAAAACACUCUGACCAAGAAUAUAUACUUUUAAAUACUAAAAUAUUUAACUAAGUAUAUAUAUAUACGCAUCCAUUAAUACAAAGGAUCAGUAUCAUACUAGAACAGAACGAAAGUAUUAAGAUUGUUGAAUAGCACAAUUAGGCUUAUAGACAUAUAGUCACUCCUGGUUGGAUGUAGCCUGAUCAACUACAUUUUCCUAGGAGUGACUAGCAUGUGCCUAAGACUGAUGGUGGUGUUGCAACAAGUCUAAAAACUUACCAACACUACCACAAGAACAUUAGAACAAGAAUACUAUAGGAGUAUUCUGCAUUCUACUAACCACAUAUGUGAUAACUAAAAGGGGUUGUUACUAGUAGGGCAAUAGUUUCUAAGUGGAUACACCAUGGUUACAUGUGACUAGGGCGCUAUAGACUUAGAAUCUGUGACCUUUGCUUCAUUUCUUGUUCUUGUCUGAUUGGGGAUCUGGAGUUAGGGUUCUUUAUUCAAAGGACUAUCUUGCUUCGGUUACAUGUAUCUGGUAUGCACUAUGCAAGUAUUGGGUCGACUAAUAAAUACCAUCUUAUAAGUAUCCUAGAUUAGUAAGUCUAUUAACCUUUCUUUCCCCAUUCUCGCGUAGAUAGCAUGGCUGGCUUCCACCUUCCCGGCGAUCCGUAUUACCCAAACCAAGGCAAUGGAGGAUGGCGAUGAGGAUCNGAUGAGGAUCCAGAAGAUGAUCACCCGAUCCCUUUGGAUGAUCACCAUGCAGAAGGCUUUUCAGAUAGCUCCAGCUCUGAGCCAGAAGUCAACAACCUACCCCCUGUAGCUCCAAAACCCAACCCCCGCCCAGCAUUUCAAGGUCCCACUCCCAUGUGGGCAUCAACCUUGAACCGAUGGAGCGAUGAACAAGGUCAGCCUUUACCUUUCAACGGAGACCGAAGCUUCUACAACGUAAGCGAGGGUGGCUCAGCUGAUCGAGCCCUACCCGUCAUGGUUCGGAGGAUUGCUAGAAAUGUUGAGCAAGGUCAUGCAGCGAUCGACAAAUUUGUGGAAAUUGAUGCCAACUCUAACCUUAACAUUGUCCGUAUCUGCCAACUGGAAGAAGCUAUGGAUAGGACAAGGAGAACCAAUGAGGCUAUGCAGCAACAGCUAGCGGCAUCCCGAGCCGAAGUUAGGGAACUCCGAGCAUGCCAGAGAGAGCAAGAAAUACAUCUUCAAGAAGUUGUGUGCCAACUGGCUGAUCUUAGGGUUCGCUUAACGGAUACCCAUCGCCAGUAGAAGAUGUCCACUUAUCUCUCUCUUUUGUUUAAGGAAUAGCCUUUUCUUCUCUAUGCUCGGUAGAGCACUUGUCUGUAAACAUUCCUAACUUUGAAAGUACUUUACCUAGGAUCCUAAACUGCCAACAUUUUCCUUAUGGUUUGAUGUAAGACCUACUGUUAGGUCACUUUUCCCGAACUCACAUUACAUCAUUAAUACCAGUAAUAUUGGCAGUUACCUACUCUGUUGCUAUGACUCUCUCUGAUUUUUCGGCUAUGUUGAUUUAGUCCAGUAAACGCUCUUAUCAUACUUGAAAUAGACUCUUACUAUUUUCAGCAUCUCUAUGAACUUUCAGUAAAAGAUGCCUCCUCACAAGCGCCCGAACAGAGGCAAACCUGCGAGUCAAACCCCACCUCCACCACCUCCUCCUCCGCAGUUCGAUCCAGUGCUGUUUCAAACAGCGAUGACCGCAACUGUGACGGAAGCCAUGGCCCAAAUGAAUUAUGGCGAUGCUAGUGGAGCCAGAAUGGGCACCAACUCCAGACAUGGUGAAAUUCCCUCACGUACACAGGGGUGUACUUAUAAGGAUUUCAUGAACUGUAAACCAACAUUUUUCAAUGGGACCGAAGGAAUCCUUGCUCUGUCCCAAUGGAUCGAAAGAAUCGAAGCCGUCUUUGAAAUGUGCUCAUGCGCCGAAGAAAUCAAAAUAAAGUUUGCUGCUGCCACUUUCACUGAAAGGGCCCUGACAUGGUGGAAUGGCCAUGUCAAUUCACUCUCUUUAGUAACAGUCAACGCCAUGGGCUGGGACACACUAAAGGACCUACCGAGAAGGGAGUACUUCCCUAGAGGUGAGGUUCAGAGACUUGAGGAGGAACUCUGGAAUCUCAAGAUGAAAGGGGUAGACAUAGUGGCAUAUAAAACCAGGUUCUGCGACCUGGUAGCUAUGUGCCCUAACAUGAUCCCCUCUGAAAGCAAGAAAAUUGAACAAUACAUCUAGGGUUUAGUGCCCCCAUAUCAAGGAAACGUUCUAUCUUCACAUCCUACAACCUUUGACAGCGCCAAGGAGUUGGCCCACAGGUUGAUUGAUCAUGAAACUCCUUCCACUCCAUCAACAGCAACAACAACCGCCACUGUACCGCCCAAGACAUCCGACAACAAGAGGAAAAGGUGGGACAAAAAGAGGGACAAGAAAGCUCAAUCCUCUUCUAAAAACAAACAGAUGUUGGCUGUCCAUGCUGCCACCACUCAUGCUACCCCUGUACCAGCAAAAGCCUAUAUUGGAAACCUGCCCAAGAGCCCAAAGUGCCCUUUUCAUCAUAACGGCCCCUGCCGUGAAAUGCACUGCACAAAUUGCGAUCGGAAGGGCCAUACCGCCCGCUUUUGCAGAUCUCAACCCAAACCCAUCUCUCAGGUCUCCGGUUCUGGAGUUAGCCAAGCCUGUUACGGCUGUGGCGAAGUGGGGCACUUCAAGAAAAACUGCCCAAAAGCUGGAAAUACGGGAGGAACGGGGAAACUACUUGCUAUUGGCCACAGUGAAGCAGUAGCAGACCCCACAGUAGUCACGGGUACGUUCCUUCUCAACAACUCUUACGCUUGUAUCUUAUUCGAUAGUGGGGAAGAAAGAAGCUUUAUAAACCAAAACUUUAAACACUUACUUAAGUUCUAAUGAUAUCUACCUAGGUUGUACCCUCACACUAGAUGAUCAUUCGUUCCCAGUCGACCUCAUACCAGUAUCGAUCAAGAGCUUCGAUGUCAUUGUGGGCAUGGACUGGUUGAGUCUCCAUCGUACUGAUAUCUUGUGUUUCGACAAAUCAAUCCAUCUAAAUCUACCGAAUAACGAAACCCUGUUAAUCUACGGGGACAAACCUAGUACAAGCCUUCGCAUCAUCUCGAGUAUUCAAGACCAGAAGUACUUGCACAAGGAAUAUCGCGCAUUCCUUGCACACGUUGUCGAAACGAGCCAGAAAAUGAAAGAUCUAAAAGACUUCCCCAUUGUAUGAGACUUCCCCGACGUCUUUCUAGAGGAGCUACCAGGUUUACCUCCCAAACGUCAGGUUGAGUUCAGAAUCGAUCUAAUUCUGGGAGCUACCCCCAUAGCCAAAUCGCCCUAUCGUCUAGCACCUGUUGAGAUGCAAGAACUGUCCAGUCAACUUAACGAGCUGCUCAGCAAGGGCUUUAUAAGACCGAGCUUCUCACCCUAGGGAGCACUGGUCUUGUUCGUGAAGAAGAAGGACAGAUCGUUUCGUAUGUGCAUCGAUUAUAGGGAGCUCAACAAACUCACGGUCAAAAAUAGUUACCCUCUUCCCCGUAUAGACGAUUUAUUUGACCAACUGCAAGGGGCGACUUACUUCUCCAAGAUUGAUCUAAGGUCUAGGUAUCAUCAAUUGCGAGUGCUUGAGGAGGAUGUCCCGAAAACUGCUUUCCGAACUCGUUACAGACACUACGAGUUCGUAGUGAUGCCCUUCGGACUGACCAACGCACCCGCAGUAUUCAUGGACUUAAUGAAUAAGGUGUGUCGUCCUUACUUAGAUCAGUUCGUCAUCGUCUUCAUCGAUGACAUACUUGUCUACUCUCGGAGUAAGGAGGAGCAUAGCGAUCAUCUACGACGAGUCCUAGAAACCCUGCGAUCGGAGAAGUUAUAUGCGAAGUUCUCUAAGUGCGAAUUCUGGAUCCGAAGAGUCGAAUUCUUGGGACACGUGGUUAGCGAGGAAGGAAUCCACGUGGACCCAUCCAAGAUUAAAGCUAUCGAGAACUGGUCAGCACCGAAGACGCCUACAGAAAUUCGUCAAUUUCUAGGCCUCGCUGGCUACUACCGCAGAUUCAUUCAGAACUUGUCUAGGAUCGCGAAACCCCUUACCACAUUGACCCAGAAGGGCAUGACCUUUGACUGAGGAGAGAAACAGGAGAAAGCAUUCCAGACCUUGAAACGAGGCUUAUGCACCGCACCAAUACUAUCCCUCCGCGAGGGGACAAAAGAUUUUGUAGUAUAUUGCGAUGCGUCUAACCAGGGGCUCGGUGGUGUCUUGAUGCAAGGAGGUAAGGUCAUCGCCUAUGCCUCGAGGCAGCUGAAGACAUAUGAGGUUAACUACACCAUGCACGACCUCGAGUUAGGAGUGGUUGUAUUCGCUCUAAAGAUCUAGAGACAUUACCUGUAUGGUACGAAGAGCACAAUAUACACUGACCACAAAAGCCUCCAACACAUACUGAACCAGAAGGAGCUCAAUAUGAGACAACGACGGUGGGUCAGCUACUAAAUGAUUAUGACUGCGAGAUUCGUUAUCACCCGGCAAAAGCCAAUGUAGUAGCAGACGCCCUAAGUCGAAAAGAAUAUUCUGGUUGAAGAGUCAGGUCAUUAACAAUGACUAUCCAUUCGCAUUUAUCCGCACAGAUUAUGGAGGCUCAGCUCGAAGCUUUGAAGCCUGAGAAUGUGGUGGGAGAAUCCCUACGAGGAAUGGAUAAGAACUUGGAGGUCAAGGGUGACAGAGCCUUAUAUCUCAUGGACCGAAUCUGGACACCGCAUCACAGUGGUUUCAAAGACUUGGUCAUGAAGGAAGCACACAACACUUGAUAUUCCGUUCACCCAGGUUCAGAUAAGAUGUAUCUGGAUCUUAAAAAGUCAUAAUGUUGGCCUAACAUUAAAGCAGAGAUUGCUACCUUCGUGAGUAAAUGCCUUACUUGCGCGAAGGUCAAGGUCGAAUACCAGAAGCCAUCAGGUCUACUAUAGCAACCGGAGAUACCUGAAUGGAAGUGGGAGUGAAUCACUAUGGAUUUCAUAACCAAGCUACCCAAGACAACAGGUGGGCUUGAUACCAUAUGGGUCAUCGUCGACAGAUUGACCAAGUCCGCACACUUCCUACCCAUCAAAGAGACAGAUAAGAUGGAGAAACUCACAAGAACAUACAUUAAGGAAAUCAUACGACUGCAUGGUGUCCCUAUAUAUAUAAUCUCUGAUAGAGAUAGUAGGUUCACUUCGAGAUUUUGGCAAUCACUACAAAGCGCCUUAGGGACGAGGUUGGACAUGAUUACAGCCUACCAUCAGCAGACCGACGGGCAAAGUGAGAGGACUAUCCAAACCCUGGAAGAUAUGUUGCGAGCCUGUGUGAUCGACUUUGGUAAGGCUUGCGAUACCCACUUACCCCUUGUUGAGUUUUCAUACAACAACAGCUAUCACACGAGCAUCAAAGCAGCUCCAUUCGAAGCCCUCUACGGCCGAAAGUGCAGAUCCCCUCUGUGCUGGGCUGAGGUGGGUCCGGAAAUCAUUCGAGAAAUGACCGAGAAGAUCAUACAGAUUCGUGAAUGAUUAAAAGCCGCUAGAGAUCGACAGAAAAGCUAUGCAGACAAACGAAGAAAACCUUUGGAAUUCCAGGUAGGAGACCGAGUCCUUUUGAAAGUCUCACCUUGGAAAGACACGAUACGCUUUGGAAAGCGUGGAAAGCUGAAUCCAAGGUACAUAGGGCCUUUCGAGAUUCUCGCUAGAAUCGGCCCCGUAGCCUACAAACUUAAUCUACCCUGCGAGCUCAGUAACAUACAUCCUACCUUCCAUGUCUCAAACCUGAAAAAGUGCCUAUCCGACGAGACUCUCGUAAUCCCACUCGACGAGAUCGAGGUCAACAAGAGCCUUAACUUCGUGGAAGAGCCUACGGAGAUCAUGAAGAGGUCAAACGAAUGAAACUAAGCCGCAUCCCAAUUGUGAAGGUUCACUGGAACGCUAAACGAGGACCGGAGUUCACUUAGGAGCGCGAGGAUCAAAUGAAACUCAAAUAUCCUCAUCUCUUUGCUUAGUUGUAUUGUAAUAACUUAGCUACUUAAAUUCGAAAUUUCGGGACGAAAUUUCCUCAAUGGGGGGAUGAUGUGACAACUCGAAAUUUAUUCCAUUGCGAUAUCCCAUUUCCGUUAAUAGAAUAUUUUUUUUUAUUAUUAAUAUUAAGAUUUCCGUUAACAGUUGGGUUAUACAAAUCAACUAAUGAUUUAUUUUAUUUUAUUGUCGAAAUGAAAUAAAUAAAAACACGUGUAAUACCCUCAAAUUUAUUUGGGAAAAAUUUCUAGUUUACAAAUAAGCCGAGUUACGACCAUUUAAUCGGGUAAAAUUUAAAUUCCAUUUAACGUUGGUAUGGGGUGGAUCCCCACCUGGCCACAAACUCAAGUCCUAUAUAAGGGUUGAGAGGUCACCAGCUUGAACUUUUUACCACUCUAGUCACUCUAUCUCUCUACUGUCUUUCUUCAAGGCCCGAUUCUUCCAAAAAUCCACAAGUUUCCGCUCCCAAACUGUAAGUUCUCUUACCAUAGAUUGUUCUAAAGCUCAUUACAUGUCUAUAUAGCUUGAAAAUCAUCCAUGAAGGCCAAGAACAAGGAGUUUAUGGCCCAAGAACCCCUAUUAGGCCGUAAACCCCUAAAAGUGUGCCAAAAUGCCCCAAAUCCCUCCCUUAGGCUUAGAGGCUAACUUGGAACUUACCCUUGAAGUGUUUUAGACAUCAAACAUUAUGUUUGGAGGUUUGAAAGAGGGCUUACGGCCCAAGAACAUUCUAAGGCCGUCAACUCCCUCA